UGAAAUAUCCGACGUUGCCCAUUUAGCC
rnacentral:sRNA from 1 species